ensembl:snRNA U6 U6 spliceosomal RNA
GUGCUCACUUUGGCAGCACAUAUACUAAAAUUGGAAUGACAGAGAAGAUUAGCGUGGCCCCUGCACAAGGAUGACAUGCAAAAUCAUGAAGUGGUCCAUAUUUUA